rnacentral:rRNA from 1 species
CUAAGAAUAUUCCGCAAUGGACGGAAGUCUGACGGAGCGACGCCGCGUGGAUGACGAAGGCCGAAAGGUUGUAAAGUUCUUUUGCUGGGGAAGAAUAACCGCAGGAGGGAAUGCCUGUGGGAUGACAAGAACCGGCGAAUAAGCCCCGGCCAACUACGUGCCAGCAGCCGCGGUAACACGUAGGGGGGCGAGCGUUGUUCGGAAUUACUGGGCGUAAAGGGCAUGUAGGCGGCUUGGAAAGCCUGGCGUGAAAGUCUGCAGCUUAACUGCAGGGGUGCGCUGGGAACUGCUGAGCUUGAGUGACGGAGAGGGAGCUGGAAUUCCUGGUGUAGGGGUGAAAUCUGUAGAUAUCAGGAAGAACACCGAUGGCGAAGGCAAGCUCCUGGCCGAUGACUGACGCUGAGGUGCGAAAGUGUGGGGAUCAAACAGGAUUAGAUACCCUGGUAGUCCACACAGUCAACGAUGUGCACUAGGUGCUGGGGCGGUAGCUUCGGUGCCGGAGCGAACGUGGUGAAGUGCACCGCCUGGGGAGUAUGCUCGCAAGGGUGAAACUUAAAUG